UAACACGUGGGCAACCUGCCUAAAGUCUGGGAUACCACUUGGAAACAGGUGCUAAUACCGGAUAACAACAAUAGCUGCAUGGCUAUUGCUUAAAAGGCGGCGAAAGCUGUCGCUAAAGGAUGGACCCGCGGUGCAUUAGCUAGUUGGUAAGGUAAUGGCUUACCAAGGCGACGAUGCAUAGCCGAGUUGAGAGACUGAUCGGCCACAUUGGGACUGAGACACGGCCCAAACUCCUACGGAAGGCAGCAG
rnacentral:rRNA from 1 species